CGGGAAUUCGAUUCCGAAUUCUUCCACACAGAGUUUGAUCCUGGCUCAGAACGAACGCUGGCGGCAUGCCUAAUACAUCCCAAGUCGAACGAGCCCUCCGGGGUUAGUGGCGCACGGGUGCGUAACGCGUGGGAAUCUGCCCUUGGGUUCGGAAUAACGUCUGGAAACGGACGCUAAUACCGGAUGAUGACGAAAGUCCAAAGAUUUAUCGCCCAGGGAUGAGCCCGCGUAGGAUUAGCUAGUUGGUGAGGUAAAGGCUCACCAAGGCGACGAUCCUUAGCUGGUCUGAGAGGAUGAUCAGCCACACUGGGACUGAGACACGGCCCAGACUCCUACGGGAGGCAGCAGUAGGGAAUAUUGGACAAUGGGGGCAACCCUGAUCCAGCAAUGCCGCGUGAGUGAUGAAGGCCUUAGGGUUGUAAAGCUCUUUUACCCGGGAUGAUAAUGACAGUACCGGGAGAAUAAGCCCCGGCUAACUCCGUGCCAGCAGCCGCGGUAAUACGGAGGGGGCUAGCGUUGUUCGGAAUUACUGGGCGUAAAGCGCACGUAGGCGGCGAUUUAAGUCAGAGGUGAAAGCCCGGGGCUCAACCCCGGAAUAGCCUUUGAGACUGGAUUGCUUGAACAUCGGAGACGUGAGUGGAAUUCCGAGUGUAGAGGUGAAAUUCGUAGAUAUUCCGGAAGACACCCGUGGCGAAGGCGGCUCACU
rnacentral:rRNA from 1 species